rnacentral:rRNA from 1 species
CUAACACAUGCAAGUCGAACGGAACUUCUUUAAGGAUUCUUCGGAAUGAAUUUGAUUAAGUUUAGCGGCGGACGGGUGAGUAACGCGUGAGUAACCUGCCUCUGAGAGGGGAAUAACAUUCUGAAAAGAAUGCUAAUACCGCAUAAUAUAUAUUUAUCGCAUGGUAGAUAUAUCAAAGAUUUAUCGCUUAGAGAUGGACUCGCGUCCGAUUAGUUAGUUGGUGAGGUAACGGCUCACCAAGACCGCGAUCGGUAGCCGGACUGAGAGGUUGAACGGCCACAUUGGGACUGAGACACGGCCCAGACUCCUACGGGAGGCAGCAGUGGGGGAUAUUGCGCAAUGGGGGAAACCCUGACGCAGCAACGCCGCGUGAAGGAUGAAGGUCUUCGGAUUGUAAACUCCUUUUAUUAAGGACGAAGAAAGUGACGGUACUUAAUGAAUAAGCUCCGGCUAACUACGUGCCAGCAGCCGCGGUAAUACGUAGGGAGCAAGCGUUGUCCGGAUUUACUGGGUGUAAAGGGUGCGUAGGCGGCUUUGCAAGUCAGAUGUGAAAUCUAUGGGCUCAACCCAUAGCCUGCAUUUGAAACUGCAGAGCUUGAGUGAAGUAGAGGCAGGCGGAAUUCCCCGUGUAGCGGUGAAAUGCGUAGAGAUGGGGAGGAACACCAGUGGCGAAGGCGG